UACGGAGGAUCCAAGCGUUAUCCGGAAUUACUGGGCGUAAAGAGUUGCGUAGGCGGUUAAUUAAGCAAUGUAUGAAUCUGGGUGGCCCAACCAUGCACCCCUAUGUUGAACUGCUUUGACUAGAGAAUGGAAGAGGUCGCUAGAAUUCCUGGUGUAGGGGUGAAAUCCGUAGAUAUCAGGAGGAAUACCGAUGGCGUAGGCAGGCGACUGGUCCAUUUCUGACGCUAAGGCACGAAAGCGUGGGGAGCGAUCGGG
rnacentral:rRNA from 1 species